UACGGAGGGUGUAAGCGAUCGUCGGAAUCACUGGGCGUAAAGGGCGCGUAGGCGGUCUAGCAAGUCUGGUGUGAAAGCCCAGGGCUCAACCCUGGAAGGGCACUGGAAACUGCUAGGCUUGAGUUCCGGAGAGGAGGGGGGAAUUCCCGGUGUAGCGGUGAAAUGCGUAGAUAUCGGGAGGAAUACCGGUGGCGAAGGCGACCCUCUGGACGGAGACUGACGCUGAGGCGCGAAAGCGUGGGGAGCAAACAGG
rnacentral:rRNA from 1 species